GACAGAGGUGCCGAGCGUUAGGCGGAAUCACUGGGCUUAAAGCGUGUGUAGGCGGAUUUGUAAGUACCUUGUGAAAUCCCACGGCUCAACCGUGGAACUGCUUGGUAUACUGCUUAUCUUGAGCCACUUAGGGGCAGUCGGAGCAGACGGUGGAGCGGUGAAAUGCGUAGAUAUGUGGAGGAACACCGAUGGCGAAGGCAGCCCCCUGGGCUAACACUGACGCUCAUGCACGAAAGCGUGGGGAGCAAACAGG
rnacentral:rRNA from 1 species